UCGAGAAUCUUCGGCAAUGGACGCAAGUCUUACCGAGCGACGCCGCGUGCGGGAUGAAGGCCUUCGGGUUGUAAACCGCUGUCGGAAGGGAGGAAAUGCAUGGGGGUUAUCCCCUGUGCUUGACCGAUCUUCGGAGGAAGUACGGGCUAAGUUCGUGCCAGCAGCCGCGGUAACACGAACUGUACGAACGUUAUUCGGAAUUACUGGGCUUAAAGAGUGCGUAGGCGGCCUGGAAGGUUGGAUGUGAAAUCCCUCGGCCCAACCGAGGAACUGCGUUCAAAACCACCAGGCUUGAGGGAGGUAGAGGUGAGCGGAACUGAUGGUGGAGCGGUGAAAUGCGUUGAUAUCAUCAGGAACACCGGUGGCGAAGGCGGCUCACUGGGCCUUUUCUGACGCUGAGGCACGAAAGCUAGGGGAGCGAACGG
rnacentral:rRNA from 1 species